GACGGGAUAACCGCUGAAAGCAUCUAAGCGGGAAGCCCCUUCCAAGAUGAGAUCUCCCUGGACCCUCGAGGUCCCUGAAGAGCCGUUCAAGACCAGGACGUUGAUAGGUCGGGUGUGUAAGCGCUGCGAGGCGUUGAGCUAACCGAUACUAAUUGCUCGUGCGGCUUGACU
rnacentral:rRNA from 1 species